rnacentral:rRNA from 1 species
AGGGAGAAGGACAAGUGCCUCCCCCUCGGCGGCGGCGGGUAAGACGAAGGUUUCGGGGCGGGGGGAGCGCGGCGGUACCACUGAAGUGGCCGCAGACUUGGGUCCGCCGCCGCCCGUUCUUCGUCGUCUUCUGGUGGUUCCGCGGCUCCCUCUUCUUCCGCUUCCGCCUCCUGCUCUCACGCACCUCCUCGGGCUGUUCCUCCUCCCGCUCUACCGGUGGAAGCCCCUCGUCGUCUUUAUCCUCCCCGUGCGCCGCCACCACCGGUUCUCCGCUUACCGCGCCGGCUGGUUCUUCCGGUUCUUCGGUCUCAAGGAGCCGCUCGGGUAGGGGCGGCUGCUUUGUACGCGGUUGACCGGCGUCGCAAUGGUCACACGGAGCGGGUACUCCUAUUGACAUGGUAUGGGUAAGGUCACCCCUCGUGACUGAAAAGUACGACGACUUAGGAAACGGUACUACCGUCGACGAAAACAACGAGAACACCUCGCGAUGCCGAUACUUCUACUGCACAACUUCUUCGUGGUAGCCGAAGUCACAGUGGUAGGAGGAGCCGUACGUCUUCUGUGAGGGUUCAGCAGAGACAUGACGUAGGUCCUACCGCUCCAACUCGCAAACUUUCAUCUUUCAGGUCUAGGUGUCGCCGUAGUCUCGAAGCAGCAGCUGGAGUAGACGCUAGCAGGAGCUCCAGCGGGUACCGCCAGACCAGGCCGGGCCGUCGUCGGUACCUGCCUCUGCGGACUUUGGGAUCGGGAGGUUCCUACGCGCGGCCGACGUCCGGUAGAAGCCGCUCGAGUAGGUGUCUAGAAGCAGAUACCACGCACACGUACU